rnacentral:rRNA from 1 species
AGGACGAACGCUGGCGGCGUGCUUAAUACAUGCAAGUCAACUUGACUUAGAUAGCAAUAUCGAAAGUAGGGUGGCGCACGGGUGCGUAACGCGUAGGUAAUCUGCCCUGAGGUCUGACAUAACCCGUCGAAAGGCGGGCUAACAUCAGAUGAUAUAUAAUCACGACAUCGUGGAAAUAUCAAAUCUUCGGAGCCUUGGGAUGAGCCUGCGUCUGAUUAGGUAGUUGGCGGAGUAAUAGCCCACCAAGCCUACGAUCAGUAGCUGGUCUGAGAGGAUGAUCAGCCACACUGGAACUGAGACACGGUCCAGACUCCUACGGGAGGCAGCAGUAAGGAAUAUUGCUCAAUGGGGGAAACCCUGAAGCAGCAACGCCGCGUGAAGGAUGAAAUACUUUGUAUGUAAACUUCUGUAAGAUGGGAAAAAUAUUCUCCUCGGGAGAAUUGAUUGUACCAUCAGAGUAAGCCCCGGCUAACUACGUG